GGUAAAAGUCAUCGCCAUUCUCUAAUCUUGAGUACCCAGGGACACGAUACACUGCGGAAGGCUGCAGGGACCUCUGCCCAGGAAAGCCAGGAGCCAGAAAAACUUCAUCUCUUUUACAAGAAACAUUGAGAUUCCUGUAAAAUUAAGAAAUCACACAAUUUGAUGGUCUACAUUAUCUAAAGCAAAUGAGACUUCUAUUUGGAACAAAGACUACCUUGUUGGGAAAUGAGUCUGCAAGUUAAAGUGUUUUCUGGAGCUAAAAAGAAAACUACAACUCAACAUAGACAAGCAAAGUUCACAGGAAAUCUGACCCUGUGACAAUAAUUUUAAGGAACAAGAAGGCAUGAGUCACAAUCCAAAAUAGCAAGAAUAAAGCAUAGGAUUCUGCUUAUGCCAAAAUAUUCCUCUGUGAUUUAAACAGAGGCAGGGACUUUGUUUCAACCAUAGUGGAUAUGGGAGGGAGAACGUCUACUGUAAGUUGGGAUGUCUACAGAAGAAAUGGAUAUCCAAGACACAAAUAACUAUUUUUAAACAAGUACAUAAAAGACAGGGAUGUGUCUAUUAAAUAAAUUCUUAUCAUUUUCUACCC
rnacentral:lncRNA from 1 species